AGAGUUUGAUCCUGGCUCAGGAUGAACGCUGGCGGCGUGCCUAAUACAUGCAAGUCNGAACGCACUAGCAAUAGUGAGUGGCGAACGGGUGAGUAACACGUAGGUAACUUACCUCUAAGACGAGGAUAACGACUGGAAACGGUCGCUAAAACUGGAUAGGAUAACGGGUGGCAUCACUUGUUAUUUAAAGGGGCUUUCAAGCCACACUUAGAGAAAGACCUGCGGCGCAUUAGCUAGUUGGUGAGGUAGAGGCUCACCAAGGCGAUGAUGCGUAGCCGGACUGAGAGGUCGAACGGCCACAUUGGGACUGAGCCAGGAUCAAACUCUAAGGGCGAAUU
rnacentral:rRNA from 1 species